AUUGAACGCUGGCGGCAGGCCUAACACAUGCAAGUCGAACGAGUGGCGGACGGGUGAGUAAUGUCUGGGAAACUGCCUGAUGGAGGGGGAUAACUACUGGAAACGGUAGCUAAUACCGCAUACCAUCAGAUGUGCCCAGAUGGGAUUAGCGAGGUGGUGGGGUAACGGCUCACCAAGGCGACGAUCCCUAGCUGGUCUGAGAGGAUGACCAGCCACACUGGAACUGAGACACUGUCCAGACUCCUACGUGAGUCAGCAGUGGGGCAUAUUGCACAAUGGGAGCAAGCCUGAUGCCGCCAUGCCGCGUGUAUGCAGAAGGCCUUCGGGUUGUAAAGUACUUUCAGUGGGGAGGCGUUACCCGCAGAAGAAGCACCGGCUAACUCCGUGCCAGCAGCCGCGGUAAUAC
rnacentral:rRNA from 1 species